rnacentral:rRNA from 1 species
CCUACGGGUGGCAGCAGUGGGGAAUAUUGCACAAUGGGGGAAACCCUGAUGCAGCGACGCCGCGUGAGUGAAUAAGUACUUCGGGAUGUAAAGCUCUAUCAGCGGGGACGAAAAUUACCGGAACCGACAGAGAAAGCACGGCUAACUACGGUCCAGCAGCCGCCGUAAUUCGGAGGGGGCAAGCGUUGGCCGGGUUUAUUGGGGGUAAAGGGUGCGUAGGCGGCAGUUGAAGUCUGGUGUGAAAGGCCGGAGCUCAACCUCCGUACGGCACUGGAUACUGGAAGGCUGGAGUGCGGGAGAGGUAAGGGGAAUUCCUGGUGUAGCGGUGAAAUGCGUAGAUAUCAGGAGGAACACCAGUGGCGAAGGCGCGUUACUGGACCGUAACUGACGCUGAGGAACGAAAGCCUGGGGAGCAAAUGGGAUUAGAUACCCUUGUAGUC